CAGAGGUCGGGUCAGGUUGUCUUAACGCAGGCAGAGGGGUGUGGCAGGGCUCCAACCGCUCGGGGUCCCGCGACUUCCAUUAAUGAAUUCGCACACUGGCCGUCACCACUCAACACGCCGACGAUACUCUGUCCAGAGGAAAAGUGUAGUUUGUUGAAAGCGUGUGGAAGAAAACCCCGGAUAUACAUAUACUUGUCUUCAAGGACCUAAUUUGCAGAUCUUAUGCAUUGCACAAAGUGAGAAUACUUGGUUGCAAGUGACCGAAAUUCAACUCCUCCAAAAAGGAUUUAUUGGUUCAUGUAAUUGCGAAGUGCAAGAGUGCAUCUUAAGGCAAGACUGCAUCUGGAGACUCAAAUACUGCUGUCAAGACUGUCUCUCCAACUCUUUGUUUGCAUUGCUUUAUUCUUCUAGAGUCUCUCCUAGUGGCUGACAAAUGGCUGCCAAACUCAAAUCUCCCAGUUAAGCAAUCGCAAUGGAGGAAAUAAACCAAAUAACUCUCUACCGAUGUCCAUAUCUCAAUUUCAGGUUCUGUGUGCAUGCUCCUAUGAUUAGCAGCCCCAGCACUAAUGCAUAGAGGAGAUAUUUCCCAAAGGAUUCUGAAGAAAGCGGGGUGGGAACAUUAGGCAGAAAAGAACAAUUCCCAUAGUCUAUUGUACCAAUGUUUCCCCACUUCAUAG